rnacentral:rRNA from 1 species
UACGGAGGAUCCAAGCGUUAUCCGGAAUCAUUGGGUUUAAAGGGUCCGUAGGCGGUCUAGUAAGUCAGUGGUGAAAGCCCAUCGCUCAACGGUGGAACGGCCAUUGAUACUGCUGGACUUGAAUUAUUGGGAAGCAACUAGAAUAUGUAGUGUAGCGGUGAAAUGCUUAGAGAUUACAUGGAAUACCAAUUGCGAAGGCAGGUUGCUAUCAAUUGAUUGACGCUGAUGGACGAAAGCGUGGGUAGCGAACAGG